rnacentral:ncRNA from 2 species
ACCACAUGCUGUGGCGAUUUGUUACCGGAUUGCGGGCCACGUAAAACAUACCGCUAAAGAGGUCAGACGACGAGGGGA